UGGGGAAUUUUGGACAAUGGGCGCAAGCCUGAUCCAGCCAUGCCGCGUGCGGGAAGAAGGCCUUCGGGUUGUAAACCGCUUUUGUCAGGGAAGAAAUCUUCUGAGUUAAUACCUCGGGAGGAUGACGGUACCUGAAGAAUAAGCACCGGCUAACUACGUGCCAGCAGCCGCGGUAAUACGUAGGGUGCAAGCGUUAAUCGGAAUUACUGGGCGUAAAGCGUGCGCAGGCGGUUUUGUAAGACAGAGGUGAAAUCCCCGGGCUCAACCUGGGAACUGCCUUUGUGACUGCAAGGCUUGAGUGCGGCAGAGGGGGGAUGGAAUUCCGCGUGUAGCAGUGAAAUGCGUAGAUAUGCGGAGGAACACCGAUGGCGAAGGCAAUCCCCUGGGCCUGCACUGACGCUCAUGCACGAAAGCGUGGGGAGCAAACAGGAUUAGAUACCCUGGUAGUCCACGCCCUAAACGAUGUCAACUGGUUGUUGGGAAGGUUCCUUCUCAGUAACGUAGCUAACGCGUGAAGUUGACCGCCUGGGGAGUACGGCCGCAAGGUUGAAACUUAAAGGGAAUUGACGGGGG
rnacentral:rRNA from 1 species